UACGUAGGGACCGAGCGUUGUCCGGAUUCAUUGGGCGUAAAGAGCUCGUAGGUGGUUUGGUAAGUCGGAUGUGAAAUCUCCAGGCUCAACCUGGAGGGGUCAUUCGAUACUGCCAUGACUAGAGGUCGGUAGGGAGGUGUGGAAUUCCUGGUGGAGCGGUGAAAUGCGCAGAUAUCAGGAGGAACACCCGUAGCGAAGGCGGCACUCUGGGCCGAUUCUGACACUGAGGAGCGAAAGCGUGGGGAGCGAACAGG
rnacentral:rRNA from 1 species